UACGGAGGAUCCAAGCGUUAUCCGGAAUCAUUUGGGUUUAAAGGGUCCGUAGGCGGUUUAAUAAGUCAGCGGUGAAAGCCCAUCGCUCAACGGUGGAAACGGCCAUUGAUACUGUUAAACUUGAAUUAUUAGGAAGUAACUAGAAUAUGUAGUGUAGCGGUGAAAUGCUUAGAGAUUACAUGGAAUACCAAUUGCGAAGGCAGGUUACUACUAAUGGAUUGACGCUGAUGGACGAAAGCGUGGGUAGC
rnacentral:rRNA from 1 species